rnacentral:rRNA from 1 species
AUUGAACGCUGGCGGCACGCUUAACACAUGCAAGUCGAGCGGUAACAUGGUUUGUAGCAAUACAAACUGAUGACGAGCGGCGGACGGGUGAGUAACACGUAGGAACUUGCCCAAUAGAGGGGGACAACCAAGGGAAACUUUGGCUAAUACCGCAUAUACUCGAGAGAGGAAAGCUGCCGCAAGGUGGCGCUAUUGGAGAGGCCUGCGUCUGAUUAGCUAGUUGGUGAGGUAAAGGCUCACCAAGGCGAUGAUCAGUAACUGGUCUGAGAGGACGACCGGUCACACUGGGACUGAGACACGGCCCAGACUCCUACGGGAGGCAGCAGUGGGGAAUCUUGGACAAUGGGGGCAACCCUGAUCCAGCGAUGCCGCGUGAGUGAAGAAGGCCUUCGGGUCGUAAAGCUCUUUAGGUCGGGAGGAAGGUUGGUAGUUUAAGAGAUAACCAAUUUGACUGUACCGACAGAAUAAGCACCGGCAAACUCUGUGCCAGCAGCCGCGGUAA